rnacentral:tRNA from 1 species
GUUAUUUUGGCAGAGGUAUAUGUGUGGGAUUUAGGAUCCUAUGAGAUAGAGUAGUCUAUAA